AGAUGAAGCAUUAAAUUGAGAUAGUCGAUUCAAGAUAUAUAACUGAAUGAGCAACAAGCAGGUGAGAGAUGAAGUAUUAAGUUGGAUUUCAGAAUAUGCAACUGAAAGACUGACAAGCAAGUGAUGUCGAGGUGAAAGUAAACAGGCAAAUUACUGAACAGCACUUCAGCAAUGUCAGCACAGCAAAGGACUUUGUAGCAAAGCAGCUAAGGUUAAAACGGGUUUAAAACAUAAUAAAGCAACUAAUACAUGAAAAGCCAUUGAUGUUAUGUUCUUUGGUUUGUAUUGUGAGCACCAGACAUUUACAGUUUUAAUGUAAGUCUUGUAUAAUCGCGUUGAUGUAUUUAUGUAGAUAUUCUUAAUUCACUGGAACCAUGUUUGCUUAGCUCUUUAUUUUCAUGCUUUACUGGAUGCCUGACAUUUACAUGGUCAAAUAAAUUAAGCAAGACUACCUUUGUUAGGUAAGUAUUUAUGCUGACUAAAUUAGUAAAUAAUUGAAAGGCUUAUUUUUCUGUAAAUUAGACUGAAAUAUAAAGUAACUGCAAUUGUUAUGUAAGCUCAUAGACUAAAUCAUCCCGCUACCUGUUCAUUACAUGGCUUGAUUAUGUUCAUUUUUUUCUCUACUUUUGUAAACAAAUUGUAAGAAACAUUCCCUAAUUGCAUGAUUACGGUCAUGAUUUUACCAUGUCCUAGAUGAUUUUUCUCUUUAUAUAGUCUCAUCUGUUUUCUACCAAAUGCAAAAUCACCAUCUCAAGCAAAAUUCAUGCAUGUUGGGCCUAAUUACCAAUUUUGCAGAAAGUUUUAUACAUAACAUUGUCAAGCCAAAACAAGUAAUGCAUAGCAUAUUAUCUUUUGUAAAUGUGCAUCAUACUAAGUGUACCAACAUUCUAAACAACUUUCCGCAAAAGUUUGUUUUUUAAAAUGAAGUUGAAAAAAAUGUACACCAGUUCAUUACUUAUAAAAAAAAAUAAAAAUAAAAAUAAAUAAAAUUCAAAAUUUAAACUAUUUAUUAAUAGCAAUAAAUAGUUUUCUACCAUAUAUUCAACUAUUUUUUCUAAUAACAUAUUUUUUAUCUGAAAAUAUGCUUCAUUAUUGAAUAUACUGGUGGGAAUAUGGUUAUAAAAAAAGGAAAAUUUAAUCAACUCCAGAAUUUCUUUGUGCAUUUAUUUAAUUCAAAAGCAGUUCAUCCCAUACAUUAGAAUCAUAAACCCAGGACAGGUUACUAAUGCAACUAUUGCUUUAUUAGCAAACCAAAUUCAAAUCAUGUGAAAGCCCGACUUACCUUUACAAUUACAUGUUUACACAUCACCACAUUCAUGCAUCAUACUCGGUAUUUUUAUGAUAGACAGUGCAUACUCAAAACAAACUCUCGAACCUGAAACCAUACAAAACCUCAUGCAAACUAUAGUAACAGUUAUAUGACUGUGUCCUGGAAAUCCGAGAGUAUGAGUGGCUUUCACAUAGGUUACAUCUAAACAAGUGUAUUGUAUUACUUAUAUUCUAUUUCGAACAUAAUCAAAUACAAUAGUGUGUGAGUGUGUGAGUGUGUGAGUGUGUGAG